AAGGGAUUAGCUCAAUGGUAGAGCAACCGUUUUACACACGGUCGGUUAGGUGUUCAAGUCACCUAUUCCUUA
rnacentral:tRNA from 1 species